ensembl:lncRNA
UCUGCAUGGAUGUAUGAUCUCUGUGGUAACUUGUAUCUGGACAGAGGGAACUCUGAUGUACUAUAUGGUUGUAUGAUCUCUGUGGUAACUGUUCAUUGAGGAUAACUGUGAUGCUAUCUAUAUUGUUGUAUGAUCUCUGUGGUAACUUGUAUCUGGACAGAGGGAACUCUGAUGUACUAUAUGGUUGUAUGAUCUCUGUGGUAACUUGUAUCUGGACAGAGGGAACUCUGAUGUACUAUUUGCAAAGAGGUUUUAUUGUCUUCUCAGGAAUUGUGUAUUUUUCUUUCUGUUGGUCUCAUCCCCCACACCAGCCGUUAGAUGUUGUGACACCGUGAGGAGAUUGGGCCUUGGUGGUCAGGUUACACUGUAAACUUGGUAUCGUUUGACUGGUCGUUGGUUUGGUGUUGAGAAGGUUAUACCUUCAGAUCUAAUAAAUGUCAAAAAAAAACAAAUAAAAACUUGUUCUCUCUCUUAUCUUCUAGCUUCAUGUCUUGUAUGUGAAUCCAUUCCUUUUUGAGUUGUUAUAUAACACUUCCUUUUGAUAUUCGCUUCUCGUGACCAUUCCUUGAUCUUAGCCAGCUAAACUCAUAAUACUUGAUUGCAUGUGGCUAAACCAUUUAUUUUAUUUUUUGUACCCUUAUUUUACCAGGUACAUUGACUGAGAACAUGUUCUCAUUUACAGCAACGACCUGGGGAAUAGUUACAGGGGAGAGGAGGGGGAUGAAUGAGCCAAUUGUACGCUGGGGAUGAUUAGGUGGCCGUGACUGUAUGAGGGCCAGAUUGGGAAUUUUUGCAUAUUGCUACUUAUCUUUAUGAGGUCAGAUCAACAUUUUAAUAGGUUAAUAAUUGCUUAGUCUUUAUUGUGAGUCGCAUGUGAGGUAUUUAUAGUAUCAUAUGUAUCAACGAAUGGUCAUGAGAAGCAAGUAUUAUAUUAUAACUUUGUAAAAUUAAUGGAUUAACAUACAAGACCUAAAGCUUGAGUUGCAAAGAAUUAACCAGCAUUACAAGACAUCAUUUUAAGCAUAUACAUGGCUUGGGUGACUGAAGUCUUUUUCGGGCUUUCCUCUGUAGUGCUUUGUGGUCGAGGGCGGUGCGUUUACCAUACCAAGCAGUGAUGCAGCCAGUCAAAAUGCUCUCGAUGGUACAACUGUAGAAUGUCUUGAGGAUCUGAGGGCCCAUGCCAAAUCUUUUCAGUCUUCUGAGGGGGAAGAGGCGUUGUCGUGUGGGUGUGUGAAUGGACAUUGUUAAGUCCUUAGAAAUGUCGACACCAAGGAACUUGAAGCUCUUGACGCGCUCCACGACAGCCCCGUUGAUGUGGAUGAGGCGUGCCCUCCACUCUUCCUCCUGAAGUCCACGAUCAGCUCCUAUUCAGAAAGACUCAAUCAUCGUACAUACCUGUCUCAAACUGACACAAUGGUAAAUUGUCUGUGUCUCUCUGUCUCUCUCUUACAGCAGCUUGCAGAUACAGGACAGCAAGGGUUUCCAAUAGAGGAGGUGAAAUGGUGUCUUGUUUUGAGCCAAGAGGAAGUAAUGACCCUGUGUGCAGGACAGGAUUGAAAAGCUUGGAGGGCUGCUGUGUUUACAUUAAAGAUGACCAGGCGUGGUUGAAGUGGGACGAGAAAACAAUAUUGAGAUGUGACAGCACACAUUAUGGGAACAGCGAUGGUGAAUGUGCCAGCAAUCAAUCCAGCCUUGACUGUGAUGGAGAGAUUUCUGCCAACAUGACACCUGGCACAGACACACCUGGCACAGACACACCUGGCACAGACACACCUGGACAGCAGAACACUACCCAGAACGGGACACCCACUGCCAGUCCAAGAGGUAGACUGUUCCUGUUACUCCCAGUCAGCAUGGUAGCUGUGAUUCUACUGGGAACGGCAUCCUGCAAACACAGGAAGAAGUCAGACUCCAGGUUUUUUUGUUGUCCUUGAUGGCUUUUGUUUUGGCAAUAUUUUCUGUUUUCUCUCUUUUGUUCAUUUUGUUGGUUGUUGGUGCGUUGGGGGAUGGUGACUCAGGGAAACUGUGUGGGGGAUCUUGGAGGGCUGGUGGCCUGGCGGUUUGGAGCUAUGGCUGGUAGCUGAUAAUCAUUGAUGUCUCAGGAGCAGGAGUAGAAAACACGGUUGACAUGUAUAAUUGUAAUUCAUACAUGCAGACACUGCAUUAUUCAAAUAGUGGAGUUUGAUAUGACUGAAAAAGAAUGUCUCAGAGAUUCAUGGUCAUCACAAGGUUUAACUGAGAUGGAAAAAUACUGAACAACACAAUAGCAGGAACUGAGCAACUGUUAUAACUAGGCUGCGAUACCAGAACAGUAAGAAUCUAUACAUCGACGGAGGGAGGACUCCAAGACUCCAAGAGGCGGGGACCCGCCUGAGCGCCUGCGAUAGGCUGAGCAAGUCUAAACCACGCUCUGCCUCUACUGUGAUAGGCCAACAGACGGGUUGGCACAAUGUCUAUCAUAGUAUAAGAACAACUGUUUACGUACAUCCUGUCAGUUCCCUGUUCUGCCCUGCGUGGUAUUACAGUGAGCCCGUAUAUAGGAACGUUGCAUUUGCCAUUUAUUGCUUAGCUAAUAAAAGUACAUAGAGUACAA